UUCCCCCACUCUGUGCGCCGCCCCCAUCCCAUCUUCGCCGCCCCGCAUCCGUCCUACUCCUCCUCGAGCUUCCUGCAUCGCAUACUCAUAGCAGCGCCGUCCAGAUCCGUCAAAGACGGUGAGUCGCCCUUCUCCCAUAGCAGGGCCGCCAAUCUCUUCGUCCUCGUCCACAAUAGACGCUGCGUGGAUCUCCAGAGACGGCGCACUGGUGACGCGGGUCUCGACGAGCAAGGCUGCAUCAGUGGCCUUCAUCGAGGCCAAGAACUCAUGGAGCUUCAGAUCUCCAUCACACCUAUAUGAUCAUGUCAAAGAGGAAUUUCCAUCCUUUGUCGUCAUCAUGGUCGCCCCAUGCCGAAAAGUACUCGCGUAGGAAUGUGGCCAAGUCGGCGAAUCGUCAUCAGCGAGCUAGAACUUUCGAUGGGUUCACUCACAUAUAUUUUCUCAAAAGAUAAGGGAUAUAAAAUAUAGAGUCUUCCAACUUUCGGAGACAAUGUGUCUCUGAAGGGGAAAGUCUAAACGUUGGACAAAGCAUAUUGGACUACAAAGUUAUCCAAGCAGCAAGAGGAAGUAGCAAAUGAAGAAGGGAAAAUAAGAGUUGUCAUUUUGUUAUGAAGGAUUGGGAGCAGCUAAAGCUUCUUCCACUAUGGGAUCUAAUACAACCAAUGAACAAGGAUCCAAAGAACUAGCUGGACUGAACUCUACAUCAUGGACAGUUUAGUCUUCGUAGUUAAUUAGGAUGGCUAAAUUACAUUUGAGUUUCAUUUGAUGGAUAUUUGCUAUGAGAAUUAUGAAUUUU